rnacentral:rRNA from 1 species
AUUGAACGCUGGCGGCAGGCUUAACACAUGCAAGUCGAGCGGGAUGAUGGUGCUUGCACUAUCACUUAGCGGCGGACGGGUGAGUAAUGCUUAGGAAUCUGCCUAUUAGUGGGGGACAACAUCUCGAAAGGGAUGCUAAUACCGCAUACGUCCUACGGGAGAAAGCAGGGGAUCACUUGUGACCUUGCGCUAAUAGAUGAGCCUAAGGCGGAUUAGCUAGUUGGUGGGGUAAAGGCCUACCAAGGCGACGAUCUGUAGCGGGUCUGAGAGGAUGAGCCGCCACCCUGGGAAUGAGACACGGCCCAGACUCCUACGGGAGGCAGAAGUGGGGAAUAUUGGACAAUGGGGGGAACCCUGAUCCAGCCAUGCCGCGUGUGUGAAGAAGGCCUUAUGGUUGUAAAGCACUUUAAGCGAGGAGGAGGCUCUUUUGGUUAAUACCCAAGAUGAGUGGACGUUACUCGCAGAAUAAGCACCGGCUAACUCUGUGCCAGCCGCCGCCGUAA